UUCAGCACCUAGUGUGCUUCAGACAACAGGCGAAUACAACGUAGAAGUCAAGUCAGUGAUACACAAGAAAAAGUUCUGUUUCAGUUAGUUCUUGCCUUCUGGGAAAUUGCCAAUCUGUAAAGCAUGAUGAAAUUAAUCCUUCCUAACUUGAUCGGUUUGUUGCUGUUGCUUACUCUGAAAACAGCAGAAUCACAGGAGUGUGUUCUCAAUGCAACACCGAAAGUAGCAUUUAAUGCAUAUUUUAGUACUGGUAGUGGAAAUUACGUGGUCAACCAAUCUAUCGUAUUUCCUCUCGUGUUACUUAAUGAAGGCGGUGGUUAUAAUGCAAGCACUGGGAUCUUC